rnacentral:rRNA from 1 species
AGGACGAACGCUGGCGGCGUGCCUAACACAUGCAAGUCGAACGAGGUCCAACCGGUGGCAACACUGGUGAAGACCGAGUGGCGAACGGGUGAGUAACACGUGAGCAACCUGCCUCGAAGACUGGGAUAACCCCGGGAAACCGGAGCUAAUACCGGAUACCCCCACCGGGUCGCAUGGCCUGGUGAGGAAAUGGAUUCCGCUUGAGAGGGGCUCGCGGCCUAUCAGCUUGAUGGUGGGGUAAUGGCCUACCAUGGCACCGACGGGUAGCUGGUCUGAGAGGACGAUCAGCCACACUGGGACUGAGACACGGCCCAGACUCCUACGGGAGGCAGCAGUGGGGAAUCUUGCGCAAUGGGCGAAAGCCUGACGCAGCAACGCCGCGUGUGGGACGAAGGCCUUCUGGGUUGUAAACCACUUUCAGCAGGGACGAUUGUGACGGUACUGCAGAAGAAGCCCGGCAACUACGUGCCAGCAGCCGC